AUGAACGCUGGCGGCGUGCCUAAUACAUGCAAGUCGAGCGAACAGACGAGGAGCUUGCUCCUCUGACGUUAGCGGCGGACGGGUGAGUAACACGUGGAUAACCUACCUAUAAGACUGGGAUAACUUCGGGAAAUCGGAGCUAAUACCGGAUAAUAUAUUGAACCGCAUGGUUCAAUAGUGAAAGACGGUUUUGCUGUCACUUAUAGAUGGAUCCGCGCCGCAUUAGCUAGUUGGUAAGGUAACGGCUUACCAAGGCGACGAUGCGUAGCCGACCUGAGAGGGUGAUCGGCCACACUGGAACUGAGACACGGUCCAGACUCCUACGGGAGGCAGCAGUAGGGAAUCUUCCGCAAUGGGCGAAAGCCUGACGGAGCAACGCCGCGUGAGUGAUGAAGGUCUUCGGAUCGUAAAACUCUGUUAUUAGGGAAGAACAAAUGUGUAAGUAACUAUGCACGUCUUGACGGUACCUAAUCAGAAAGCCACGGCUAACUACGUG
rnacentral:rRNA from 1 species